rnacentral:pre_miRNA from 1 species
UGCCGAAGUUUUCCUCAGUAGUUAACUGCAGCCGCUUCUAUUAUUCGACAGUUAACUGCCGAGGGACAU